rnacentral:rRNA from 1 species
GACGUAGGGCGCGAGCGUUGUCCGGAUUUAUUGGGCGUAAAGAGCUCGUAGGCGGCUUGUCGCGUCGUUCGUGAAAACCCGGGGCUCAACUCCGGGCUUGCGGGCGAUACGGGCAGGCUAGAGUUCGGUAGGGGAGACUGGAAUUCCUGGUGUAGCGGUGGAAUGCGCAGAUAUCAGGAAGAACACCAACGGCGAAGGCAGCUCGCUAGGACGGUACUGACGCUGAGACGCGAAAGCGUGGGGAGCGAACAGG